rnacentral:rRNA from 1 species
GACGAACGCUGGCGGCGUGCUUAACACAUGCCAGUCGAACGGAAAGGCCCUGCUUUUGUGGGGUGCUCGAGUGGCGAACGGGUGAGUAACACGUGAGUAACCUGCCCUUGACUUUGGGAUAACUUCAGGAAACUGGGGCUAAUACCGGAUAGGAGCUCCUGCUGCAUGGUGGGGGUUGGAAAGUUUCGGCGGUUGGGGAUGGACUCGCGGCUUAUCAGCUUGUUGGUGGGGUAGUGGCUUACCAAGGCUUUGACGGGUAGCCGGCCUGAGAGGGUGACCGGCCACAUUGGGACUGAGAUACGGCCCAGACUCCUACGGGAGGCAGCAGUGGGGAAUAUUGCACAAUGGGCGGAAGCCUGAUGCAGCAACGCCGCGUGCGGGAUGGCGGCCUUCGGGUUGUAAACCGCUUUCGCCUGUGACGAAGCGUGAGUGACGGUAAUGGGUAAAGAAGCACCGGCUAACUACGUG